AUGGAGAGCGCUCACCGCGACGACGACCUCUCGCCGGAGGCGGCGAGGAUGCUCCGCGAGAUGGCGCUGCGGGGUCGCGAGGAGGGAGGGGAGCCCGAUCUGCCCGACGAGCAGCUGCGCUCCAACGACCAGCUCCAGCAAGACGAGAUGUUAGCGCUGGAGGCAAUUUAUGGGGACAAGAUACGCAUCUUUGGUGAAAAGGCUAUACCGCGGUCUUUCCAGAUCCUGGUGUACUGUGAAAUUCCAGAUGGUAUCAAUGUAUAUGUAGAGCCAUUCCAGGGUGAUGAUGAUGAUGACACAAAGAGCCAGUUCCCGGAAAACUUUAGUAUCGAGCACUUGGCUCCACUAUCACUGACAUGCCUCAUGCCUCCAUCGUACCCAAGCCAUCAUCCUCCAUACUUUACUCUUGGUGUACAAUGGUUGGAUAAUGUGCAGGUUUCCUCCCUUUGUCACAUGCUCGACUUGAUCUCGGCGCAACAACCUGAACAGGAAGUUGUUUAUGAGUGGGUGCAUUGGCUGCAGAGCUCUGUGCUUUCUCAUCUUGGUUUUGACAACGGAAUAGUCAUACGACAGCCUCAUAGUGCGGUCAGUCAAGUGGAUUUUCGGGUUGUGGGAGAGAUUUUGUCUGCAGAGUCUGUCGUUCAACAGUUGAUCAGCUACAAUGAGGACCAAUGCCAUGAAUCCUUUCUCCACGGGCUUCAUACCUGCAUGAUUUGCUUCAGCGAGUACACAGGCGUUGAUUUUGUAAAGCUUCCAUGCCAGCAUUACUUUUGCCAGAGGUGCAUGGAGACUUACUCAAGGAUUCAUGUCAAGGAAGGAACAGUACUCAGAUUGGUGUGCCCUGAUAACAAGUGUGGAGGGAUUAUUCCUCCUAAUCUACUGAAGAAGUUGUUAGGAGAUGCAGAUUUUGAACGGUGGGAAAGGUUGGUACUUCAGAAGGCUCUAGAUUCAAUGUCUGAUGUAGCUUACUGUCCAAGAUGUGGAAUAGCUUGCCUGGGAGACAAGGACAAUGCCCUGUGCUCCAAUUGCCUCCUCAACUUCUGCACACACUGCAGAAAUCUUUCUCACACAGGGAGGACCUGCAUUGUUCUUACUCCAGAAGAAAAACUUCUCACCUUACAGGAACGUGCAAAAGUGCGCCGCUUGAGCAAAGGCGAAGUUGGCAUGAUAAUUAGCUUGGCAAAUGAAAUAUUUAGCAUCAAGGAAGUGCUCCGUUCUUCCGUUCCAUGUCCCCAUUGUGGUAUCGCCAUUACACGUGUGUCUGGCUGUAACCACAUGCUUUGCAGGAAAUGUGGUAAACAGUUUGACUAUGACCUUGCUGGAAGACAUAAUGUCAGGGCUGUUGAUUUCAUCAAAGAUGUCGAGGUUCAGAAAGAAGCAAGAGCGAGACUGUCCGCCAGCUUCAAACAACAUCCGUGCCCGAAAUGCCACCAGCCACACCACAAGGUAAAGUUGUUCUGGCUUUUCAGAUAUCAGUCUUUUUCAUCAUUUUUUCACCUGGCGUUGGGAAAUGACUUCACCGACUCGCUUGUUUUGUGUGAAAUAAACACUGACUCUGGUAUGAGCCGAUGGGGAACAACAACCACAUCCUGUGCUUGGCAUGCCAAGUUCAUUACUGUGCUCUGUGUCGGAAGGUGGUGCGGAAGAGCUCAGAGCACUAUGGCCCCAGAGGGUGCAAACAGCACACUGUCGACCCCGUGUUCGCUCAGACUAGAACAAAGAACAAUGAUGACUCUGGAUCAGAACUUGUGUGAAACGAUACAAAGGGAGAGCAUUGGUUGGGGAGCAUCAGUUGUAUUGUUGCAAAGCUUGCUAGAUUCAGUACAGCAUAAUGUUUGGGAGCAUCAGUUGUAUUGUUGCAAAGCCUGCUAG
rnacentral:rRNA from 1 species